GUGCCAGCCGCCGCGGUAAUACGGAGGGUGCAAGCGUUGUUCGGAAUCAUUGGGCGUAAAGCGCGUGUAGGCGGCUUGGCAAGUCAGUUGUGAAAGCCCGGGGCCCAACCCCGGAACUGCAUCUGAAACUGCUUGGCUCGAGUCCCGGAGAGGAAGGCAGAAUUCCCGGUGUAGGGGUGAAAUCCGUAGAUAUCGGGAGGAAUACCAGCGGCGAAGGCGGCCUUCUGGACGGUGACUGACGCUGAGACGCGAAAGCGUGGGGAGCAAACAGGAUUAGAAACCCUCGUAGUCC
rnacentral:rRNA from 1 species